rnacentral:rRNA from 1 species
UGGGGAAUAUUGCACAAUGGGGGAAACCCUGAUGCAGCGACGCCGCGUGAGCGAAGAAGGUUUUCGAAUCGUAAAGCUCUGUCCUAUGAGAAGAUAAUGACGGUAUCAUAGGAGGAAGCCCCGGCUAACUACGUGCCAGCAGCCGCGGUAAUACGUAGGGGGCUAGCGUUAUCCGGAUUUACUGGGCGUAAAGGGUGCGUAGGUGGUCUUUCAAGUCGGUGGUUAAAGGCUACGGCUCAACCGUAGUUAGCCUCCGAAACUGGAAGACUUGAGUGCAGGAGAGGAAAGUGGAAUUCCCAGUGUAGCGGUGAAAUGCGUAGAUAUUGGGAGGAACACCAGUAGCGAAGGCGGCUUUCUGGACUGCAACUGACACUGAUGCACGAAAGCGUGGGUAGCAAACAGG